rnacentral:rRNA from 1 species
GCUAUCGCUGGUCUACGAUAUGUCUAUAGUAAUACAAACGGAGCAUCACCAAAGCUUCUAGAAGCCCUGAAAAGGGCGGCCACCUUAGACAGGCGGAUAAGAGAUCUUUUGAGGCGACAUAAAUGUCGGUUUCGAAAUAACUUUGUCGAGAGGCUGUAUAUUCCUAGAGAAUGUGGUGGAUACGGGUUGAAAUCAGUGGAGGAUACGCUGCGAGAGAGUAUCCUCGCUACAUGGAGUUACAUCGCCACGAACCCGCAUUUGGCUGGACAACAGCACUUCUUCGAGAGGCUUGCAGCAAGAGGCAAGCGCACCCCGAUGGCGGACGGGGUAAAGAUAUUGUUGGAUCUGGGAGUGGAACCCCAGGUGGACUUGAAGCGAAGGACGGUGACCGUCGACGGUAUAGUCUUCGAAGACCCGACCAAGCUUCAUCGAUACCUGGUGGGAAAGCUCUUAAAAGCAAGAACUGAGGCGAGGAUUCGAAGAUGGAAGGAAGCCAGCUUAGCUGGACGGUUGGUAAAUGACACAAGUAUUGAUAUGCGACUAUCAUGCUUGUGGAUGAAAAAAGGUUUUGUGAGUGCGAGGAACCUCAGAGAUGCGCUUGCUGUGCAAGAGGGGAGUUUGCUUACUAGAGCAUGCCCUGCUCUAAAGGGUAAAGGCGGCCAAGAAGUUUGCCGGUGUUGCCAUGCAGCGCCGGAAACUGCAGAGCACAUAACAUCAGCCUGCCGCUAUUGGCUUCCUAGUCUCUAUGUUGAGAGACAUGACUCGGUAGCAAGGAACCUCUAUUACGUCAUAUGCUGCCGCUACGGCAUAACACCGGUGCAUUACUCAAAUAGGGUAUCACCGCUCUCGGAGAAUAGCCAAUGCCGCGUUCUUUGGAACAUGGAUAUGCAGACUCGGACGCCAAUGAAGCAUCGAAAGCCUGAUAUAGUCGUCUUUGAUCUCAAGAGGGAAAAGAUCCUCAUGUUCGAAGUUUCGAUAGCCCAUGCCAGUGGGUUAUUGAAACAGCGGGAAAUCAAGAUCAAUCGGUAUACGGUGAACUCCGAAGAGUUGCCUGAUGAGACCAUAACACCGUAUCCGCCUGGGCCGAAUUUGGCCGCUGACCUCGCUGCCACCUAUGGUUGGCAGGUUGAAUUUGCCCCAGUGGUGGUUGGCACGUGUGGUGAGCACGUACCAGCCGUCAAAGAGGACCUGCAAAGAACGUUGGAUCUAAAACCUCAUCAAGUCGAAGCCCUUCUUGAAAGGAUAUCCCGAUCGGCGGUGAUCGGAACGGCUAGAGUAGUCCGAGCACACCUCGCCUGCUCUUAGUCGCUAAGGGGUCCGGAAAUGGUCCGGUCCUGCGCUACCCGGUCUGGUAGCACGUUCAAGCGCUCAAUCGCCUGCCUUGUAGGCAGUCCAUCUGUGGAAGUCGCGCUCUUGAUACAGAUGUGGACGGAUGGAAGCAGAUGAUAGAGGCCGGUGACGGCCCUACUAGCCAAACGCAUGACGCGCAUGAAUGGAUUAACGAGAUUCCCACUGUCCCUAUCUACUAUCUAGCGAAACCACAGCCAAGGGAACGGGCUUGGCGAACACAGCGGGGAAAGAAGACCCUGUUGAGCUUGACUCUAGUCCGACUCUGUGAAGAGUCAUGAGAGGUGUAGCAUAAGUGGGAGGCUUUGGCCAACAGUGAAAUACCACUACUUUCAUCGAUUCUUUACUUAUUCGGUAAGACGAGAAUUGAGCCUAUCCGGCUCUUCAUUCUGGUGUUAAGUGCAGCCACUCGGUGGCCGUUCGACCGCGCCGAAGACCANCCUCGUCAUCUAAUUAAUGACGCGCAUGAAUGGAUUAACGAGAUUCCCACUGUCCCUAUCUACUAUCUAGCGAAACCACAGCCAAGGGAACGGGCUUGGCGAACACAGCGGGGAAAGAAGACCCUGUUGAGCUUGACUCUAGUCCGACUCUGUGAAGAGUCAUGAGAGGUGUAGCAUAAGUGGGAGGCUUUGGCCAACAGUGAAAUACCACUACUUUCAUCGAUUCUUUACUUAUUCGGUAAGACGAGAAUUGAGCCUAUCCGGCUCUUCAUUCUGGUGUUAAGUGCAGCCACUCGGUGGCCGUUCGACCGCGCCGAAGACCAGUGUCAGGCGGGGAGUUUGACUGGGGCGGUACAUCUGUCAAAUCGUAACGCAGGUGUCCUAAGGCUAGCUCAGAGAGGACGGAAACCUCUCGUAGAGCAAAAGGGCAAAAGCUCGCUUGAUCUUGAUUUCCAGUACGAAUACAGACCGCGAAAGCGUGGCCUAUCGAUCCUUUUGAAUUAGAAGGUCUCUAGCAAGAGGUGUCAGAAAAGUUACCACAGGGAUAACUGGCUUGUGGCAGCCAAGCGUCCAUAGCGACGUUGCUUUUUGAUCCUUCGAUGUCGGCUCUUCCUAUCAUUGCGAAGCAGAAUUCGCCAAGCGUUGGAUUGUUCACCCACCAAUAGGGAACGUGAGCUGGGUUUAGACCGUCGUGAGACAGGUUAGUUUUACCCUACUGUGACUCGUUGUUGCGAUAGUAAUCCUGCUUAGUACGAGAGGAACCGCAGGUUCAGACAUUUGGUUCAUGUGCUUGGCCGAUCGGCCAAUGGUGCGAAGCUACCAUCUGAGGGAUUAUGACUGAACGCCUCUAAGUCAGAAUCCCGCCUAGUGAAGGCAACGAUAAAUUUGCUCGCCGGUGUCGGGAGGCACUUCUAUGUAACUUUUAAAGUUACAGCUAAUGCCCCAUUAUAUGGUCUUUCCGAACGAUUGAAAAGUCGUGCGGUUGCCAAAGCCGGACUACACGGUACAACGUCGGGGCGCAAAAUCACUUGCAGACGACUUGAUUACUGGUCAAGGUGUUGUAUCCAGUAGAGCAGCCUCCAUACUGCGAUCUGUUGAGACUCAUCCUUUGAUUGGACGAUUUGUUU